ensembl:snRNA U6 U6 spliceosomal RNA
GUGCUCGUUUCAGCAGCACAUAUGUGAAAACUGGAGUGAUAACAGAGGGGGUCAGCAUGGCCCCUGUGCAAAUUCAUAACGCAAAUUCAUAAUGUGUUCCAUAUUUUU